AGGACGAACGCUUGCGACGUGCCUAAGAAAUGCAAGUCGAACGGGGUAGCAAUACCUAGUGGCGAACGGUCGCGUAACACGUGGGCAACCUGCCCUGAAGCGGGGGACAACAACUCGAAAGAGUUGCUAAUACCGCAUGUGUAUCGGGAUGGCAUCAUCCAGGAUACAAAGCCGCAAGGCACUUCAGGAUGGGCCCGCGGCCUAUCAGCUAGUUGGUGAGGUAACGGCCCACCAAGGCUUCGACGGGUAGCUGGUCUGAGAGGACGAUCAGCCGGAUUGGGACUGAGAUACGGCCCAGACUCCUACGGGGGCAGCAAUUAGGAAUCUUGCACAAUGGGCGAAAGCCUGAUGCAGCGACGUCGCGUGUGGGAUGAAGCCUUUCGGGGCGUAAACCACUUUUAGCGGGGAAGAAAAAAUGACGGUACCCGAUGAAUAAGCCCGGCUAACUACGCGCCAGCAGCCGC
rnacentral:rRNA from 1 species